AAUAUUGCACAAUGGGCGAAAGCCUGAUGCAGCAACGCCGCGUGAAUGAUGAAGGCCUUCGGGUCGUAAAGUUCUGUGAUCAGGGAUGAUAAUGACAGUACCUGAAAAACAAGCCACGGCUAACUACGUGCCAGCAGCCGCGGUAAUACGUAGUUGGUGAGCGUUGUCCGGAAUUACUGGGCGUAAAGGACGUGUAGGUGGAUACUUAAGUGGGAUGUGAAAUCACCAGGCUCAACCCGGGAAUUGCAUUCCAAACUGGGUAUCUAGAGUGCAGGAGAGGAAAGCGGAAUUCCUAGUGUAGCGGUGAAAUGCGUAGAUAUUAGGAGGAACACCAGUGGCGAAGGCGGCUUUCUGGACUGUAACUGACACUGAGGCAUGAAAGCGUGGGUAGCAAACAGG
rnacentral:rRNA from 1 species